CGCUAUCACUCCUACGGGAGGCAGCAGUGGGGAAUAUUGCACAAUGGGCGCAAGCCUGAUGCAGCCAUGCCGCGUGUGUGAAGAAGGCCUUCGGGUUGUAAAGCACUUUCAGUAGGGAGGAAGGUAGUGUAGUUAACACCUGCACUAUUUGACGUUACCUACAGAAGAAGCACCGGCUAACUCCGUGCCAGCAGCCGCGGUAAUACGGAGGGUGCGAGCGUUAAUCGGAAUUACUGGGCGUAAAGCGCAUGCAGGCGGCCUGUUAAGUCAGAUGUGAAAGCCCGGGGCUUAACCUCGGAAUUGCAUUUGAAACUGGCAGGCUAGAGUCUUGUAGAGGGGGUAGAAUUUCAGGUGUAGCGGUGAAAUGCGUAGAGAUCUGAAGGAAUACCAGUGGCGAAGGCGGCCCCCUGGACAAAGACUGACGCUCAGAUGCGAAAGCGUGGGGAGCAAACAGGAUUAGAUACCCUGGUAG
rnacentral:rRNA from 1 species